UAAGACAGAGGUGCCGAGCGUUAGGCGGAAUCACUGGGCUUAAAGCGUGUGUAGGCGGAUCGUUAAGUACCUUGUGAAAUCCCACGGCUUAACCGUGGAACUGCUUGGUAUACUGGCGGUCUUGAGCCACCUAGGGGCAACCGGAACAAAUGGUGGAGCGGUGAAAUGCGUAGAUAUCAUUUGGAACGCCAAUGGUGAAAACAGGUUGCUGGGGGUGUGCUGACGCUGAGACACGAAAGCCAGGGGAGCGAACGGGAUUAGAUACCCCGGUAGUCCUGGCCGUAAACGAUGUCGACUAGAUCGUAGUGCCUCUGACGGUAUUACGGUCGAAGCAAAAGUGCUAAGUCGACCGCCUGGGAAGUACGGUCGCAAGGCUA
rnacentral:rRNA from 1 species